AGUGAACGCUGGCGGUAGGCCUAACACAUGCAAGUCGAACGGCAGCACAGUAAGAGCUUGCUCUUACGGGUGGCGAGUGGCGGACGGGUGAGGAAUACAUCGGAAUCUACUUUUUCGUGGGGGAUAACGUAGGGAAACUUACGCUAAUACCGCAUACGACCUACGGGUGAAAGCAGGGGAUCUUCGGACCUUGCGCGAUUGAAUGAGCCGAUGUCGGAUUAGCUAGUUGGCGGGGUAAAGGCCCACCAAGGCGACGAUCCGUAGCUGGUCUGAGAGGAUGAUCAGCCACACUGGAACUGAGACACGGUCCAGACUCCUACGGGAGGCAGCAGUGGGGAAUAUUGGACAAUGGGCGCAAGCCUGAUCCAGCCAUACCGCGUGGGUGAAGAAGGCCUCCGGGUUGUAAAGCCCUUUUGUUGGGAAAGAAAAGCAGCAGGUUAAUACCCCGCUGUUCUGACGGUACCCAAAGAAUAAGCACCGGCUAUCUUCGUG
rnacentral:rRNA from 1 species